rnacentral:ncRNA from 1 species
UGAUAGCGUUGAUGCGUAAGGUUGCUACUGGAUUUCAGUAGGUUUUUACGCGGAGCGAAUGUCAAGUUAUAAAACUGGCGACAA